CGCGUAGGCGGCUCGGUAAGUCUGGAGUGAAAGUCCCUGCUUUUAAGGUGGGAAUUGCUUUGGAUACUGUCGGGCUUGAGUGCAGGAGAGGUUAGUGGAAUUCCCAGUGUAGCGGUGAAAUGCGUAGAGAUUGGGAGGAACACCAGUGGCGAAGGCGACUAACUGGACUGUAACUGACGCUGAGGCGCGAAAGUGUGGGGAGCAAAC
rnacentral:rRNA from 1 species